CGAGAUGUUUCUCGUUUUUUAAAACAAUUUCCUCACUUAUUUGAGAGAAUUAUUAUUGAAUAACCUCCAUUUAUUUAUCAAGAACAACUUCCCCAUUCAAAAAGAAACCAGCCAUUUUCUCGUACUACUGUGUUUUCAGUUUUCACCAAUGGCGGGCUCAAAACCCUAGACUCCGGCCCUCCUCUCAUCUUCCCCGCUAAUUCCCAACCCUCUGAUUCAGAGGAAUACGAUCUCUACUCUCGCCUCAAAUCUCUGCAACGCCAGCUUGAAUUCAUCGACAUUCAAGAGGAGUGCGUGAAAGAUGAGCAGAAGAACCUCAAAAGGUAGCUCCUGAGGGCUCAGGAAGAGGUCAAGAGGAUACAGUCUGUGCCCUUGGUUAUAGGCCAGUUCAUGGAGAUGGUGGACCAGAAAAAUUGGAUCGUCGGAUCGACUACAGGUUCGAGUUUACCAUGUGAGGAUAUUGAGCACUAUUAAUCGUGAGCUUUUGAAGCCUUCGGCCUCCGUGGCUUUGCAUCGGCACUCGAAUGCGCUCGUUGACGUUCUUCCUCCGGAGGCCGUUUCUAGUAUCUCUCAUCUAGGGCAGUCUGAGAAGCCGGAUGUCACGUAUAAUAAGGUAAUAUCUGGCCAAUGUUUUGCAAGGACCUGUUAUUUUGGCAUAUAUUCGAUUUUACUCCAUCCUGUCAUUGACAUGGUACCGCUCCAAUCCUAUUUAUGUUGGGUGCUUCAAUAUUCCGUGCCGAGCUUUUCUGUGUGCAGAUAGCUGUGAUUUGUCAAGAAGCUCGGAUGCAUGCAGUUCGCAAGAACCGGUAUGUCAUGUUACCGAAGGAUACACAAUGUCAAGAAACCCGAUACAGAUUUUGACUUUUACAAUUAAACCUUACGGCAAUCUCUCUCUUUGCCAAUGUCAAGAAACCUGAUACAGAUUUCAAUUUUUAAAAGUAUCAAUCUCUCUCUUUGCCAAUGUCAAGAAACCUGAUACAGAUUUCAAUUUUUAAAAGUAUCAAUCUCUCUCUUUGCCAAUGUCAAGAAACCUGAUACAGAUUUCAAUUUUUAAAAGUAUCAAUCUCUCUCUUUGCCAAUGUCAAGAAACCUGAUACAGAUUUCAAUUUUUAAAAGUAGGCCUUAUGAAAAUCUAUCUCUCAGCCAAUGUCGGAAUAUCUUUCUGUGCUGUUAAAUUAUUUUCUGUAGAAUAAUAUGUUUAUGUGCAGGCGUCUUUCUCUAAGCUAUGAGGUUCCUAAUGGGAAUGAGCCAUUUCAAUCUGCAGUUAACCUCUCACUCUGAUCAAAGAGGUUGCUUAUGGGAAUGAGCCACUUACAUGUGCAGUUACUCUCUCUCUCUGAGCAAAGAGGUUCCUUAUGGGAAUGAGCCAUUUACAUGUGCAGUUAAUCUCUCUCUCAGCCAUCUAAAUGUGCAGUUAAUCUCUCUUUCUAUCAGCCAUCUAAAUGUGCAGUCUUUCUCUCUCUCAGCCAUCUAAAUGUGUAGUUUCUCUCUCUCUUUCAGCAUCUGAAUGUGCAGUCUCUCUCUCACUCACAGACGAGUUUCAUAAUGGAAUGGGCAAUUUAAAUGAGCACUUAAGUAUGUUACC